AACGAACGCUGGCGGCGCGCUUAACACAUGCAAGUCGAACGAGAAGGCGUAGCAAUACGCUUGUACAGUGGCGAACGGGUGAGUAAUACGUGGGCGACCUACCCUCGAGUGGGGAAUAACCCGCCGAAAGGCGGGCUAAUGCCGCGUACGCUUCCAUCUUUAUGGAGGUGGAAGGAAAGCCGUGCCGUGGGCACGGCGCUCAAGGAUGGGCUCACGUCCUAUCAGCUUGUUGGAGGGUAACGGCCUACCAAGGCUCCGACGGGUAGCUGGUCUGAGAGGACGAUCAGCCACACUGGCACUGCGACACGGGCCAGACUCCUACGGGAGGCAGCAGUGAGGAAUAUUGCGCAAUGGGCGAAAGCCUGACGCAGCGACGCCGCGUGGGGGGAUGAA
rnacentral:rRNA from 1 species